AAAAAUGGCUUCUACCAUGAGCGGAAUAUAUAGGGCAGCUUAAUUGCUCUAUGUGUGGAAUCAACAUCAAGCAAUUUCAGAAACAUAAUUUUUUGGUACCUGGGAAGCUAGUGACCAUUUGUCCUGGUGCCUGC